AGCGGACGCUGGCGGCAGGCCUAACACAUGCAAGUCGAACGAACUCUUCGGAGUUAGUGGCGGACAGGUGAGUAACACGUGGGAACGUGCCUUUAGGUUCGGAAUAACUCAGGGAAACCUGUGCUAAUACCGAAUGUGCCCUUCGGGGGAAAGAUUUAUCGCCUUUAGAGCGGCCCGCGUCUGAUUAGCUAGUUGGUAAG
rnacentral:rRNA from 1 species